CGAACGGGUGAGUAACGCGUGAGGAACCUGCCUCAAAGAGGGGGACAACAGUUGGAAACGACUGCUAAUACCGCAUAAGCCCACGGCUCGGCAUCGAGCAGAGGGAAAAGGAGUGAUCCGCUUUGAGAUGGCCUCGCGUUCGAUUAGCUAGUUGGUGAGGUAACGGCCCACCAAGGCGACGAUCGGUAGCCGGACUGAGAGGUUGAACGGCCACAUUGGGACUGAGACACGGCCCAG
rnacentral:rRNA from 1 species